CCCAAUUCCCUUAGCUCGGGUCCUUUUCCAGCAUACCCGGAAGCUACAGAGAUGGAGAGAGAGGAACAGAACAAACAAACAAUGCGCUCAUCCACAACAUUGAUAAAGUUCCCAGUUGUCUUGAAAGCACCAUAAAUCCAGAUAAUGCCAGACUUUGAUGCCCACGAAGGACCUCCAUGCCACCUUCCUGUUCAAGUGAGAAAAGCACAACAAGGAGGGGUGCGUUACUUGAGUGUGUUGAGUCACUGACGUGAUCUUCCUGUCUGGGUUGGCGCCGCCCCUUGGGUUGUGCCGUAACGGAGAUCUUUGUGGGCUAUACUCAACCUUGUCUCAGAAUGGUAAGUUGCUGGUUGAAGAUAUCCCUCUAGUGGUGUGGGGGCUGUGCUUUGGCAAAGUGCGUGGGGUUAUAUCCUGCCUGUUUGGCCCUGUCUAGGGGGUAUCAUUGGGAUGGGGCCACAGUGUCUCCUGACCCCUCCUGUCUCAGCCUCCAGUAUUUAUGCUGCAGUAGUUUAUGUGUCGGGGGGGCUAGGGUCAGUCUGUUAUAUCUGGAGUACUUCUCCUGUCUUUGCCAGAGUCCUGUGUGAAUUUAAGUAUGCUCUCUCUAAUUCUCUCUUUCUUUCUUUCUUUCUUUCUUUCUUUCUUUCUUUCUUUCUUUCUUUCUUUCUUUCUUUCUUUCUUUCUUUCUUUCUUUCUUUCUUUCUUUCUUUCUCUCUCUCUCUCUCGGAGGACCUGAGCCCUAGGACCAUGCCUCAGGACUACCUGGCAUGAUGACUCCUUGCUGUCCCCAGUCCACCUUGUCAUGCUGCUGCUCCAGUUUCAACUGUUCUGCCUGCGGCUUUGGAACCCUGACCUGUUCACCGGACGUGCCACCUGUCCCAGACCUGCUGGUUUCAACUCUCUAGAGACAGCAGGAGCGAUAGAGAUACUCUUAAUGAUCAGCUAUGAAAAGCCAACUGACAUUUACUCCUGAGGUGCUGACUUGUUGCACCCUCGACAACUACUGUGAUUACUAUUAUUUGACCAUGCUGGUAAUUUAUGAACAUUUGAACAUCUUGGCCAUGUUCUGUUAUAAUCUCCACCCGGCACAUCCAGAAGAGGACUGGCCACCCCUCAUAGCCUGGUUCCUCUAGGUUUCUUCCUAGGUUUUGGCCUUUCUAGGGAGUUUUUCCUAGCCACCGUGCUUCUACACCUGCAUUGCUUGCUGCUUGGGGUUUUAGGCUGAAUUUCUGUACAGCACUUUGAGAUAUCAGCUGAUGUAAGAAGGGCUAUAUAAAUACAUUUGAUUUUAUUUUAAUUACCUGUUUCACUGCCAUACAAGGCUCCACUGAUAGCCAGGUGUAGCAGUGGUAAGGUGCUGGGACAGCUUUAUGUAGGCCCUAACAGUUUGUGGGCACCGUUUUUCACCGUUAUAGUCCAGUUAAUGUAUAUCCCCCCAUUAUUUGAGUUUGCCUCACCAAGAUAAUCAUGCUAAAAUCGCCACUGAUUGUCUAUCAACAAUAACAAGCCACCUGGGUCUGACAACCUAGAUGGAAAAUUACUGAGGAUAAUAGCGAAUAGGAGUGGCAAUAUCGUCCGCUAUUAUCCUCAGUAAUUUUCCAUCCAAGUUGUCAGACCUUGGUGGCUUGUCAUUGUUUGUCUUCAAUCUAAGCCAAAAAAGUGUGUGCCCUCAGUCCUGCAGGGAAGAAAAAGUAAUUUAACUACUCACUACCCCAAGAAUAGUACAGCCCCCUUUACUGGCUCAAAUAGCCUACCAAUCAGGCUGUAACCAACCCUUAGUAAACUUUUUGAAAAAAUUGUGUUUGACCAGAUACAUUAUUUUUUUUACAGUAAACAAAUUGACAACAGACUUUCAGCAUGCUGAUAAGGAAGCUCAUUCAACAUGUAUGGCACUUACACAAAUUACUGAUGAUCAGAUGAGAGAAAUUGAUCAUAAAAAUAUUGUAGGAGCUGUUUUGUUAGACUUCAGUACGGUUUUUGACAUUAUCGAGCAUAGUCUGCUGCUGGAUAAACGUAUGUUUUAUGGCUUUACACCCCCUGCUAUAUUGUGGAUAAAGAGUUACCUGUCCAACAGAAUAAAGAGGGUGUUCUUUAAUGGAAGCCUCUCAAGCAUAAUUCAGGGCAGCUGUCUAGGCCCCUUACUUUUUUCAGUCUUUACUAUUGACAUGUCUCUGGCCGGUGUGUAUGUACGCAGAUGACUCAAGACUUUACACGUCAGCUACAACAGCGAAUUAAAUUACUGCAACACGUAACAAAGAGCUGCAGUCAUUUUCAGAAUGGUUAUCAAGUAAUAUAGUAAGUAUGUACUAAAUAUUUCCAAAACUAAAAGCAUUGUAUUUAGGACAAGUCAUUCACUAAUCCCUAAACCUCAAGUAAAUAUUGUAAUGAAUAAUGUGGAAAUUGAGCAAGUUGAGGUGACUAAACUGCUUUGAGUAACCAUGGAUUGUAAACUGUCAUGGUCAAAACAUGUUGAUGCAACAGUAGCUAAGAUGGAGAGAAGUCUGUCCAUAAUAAAGCGCUGCUCUGACUUAACAACACAGAGAGAGAUUUAGGAAAAUUACAAUUGGCUUAGAACAGGGCAGCACAGCUGGUCCUUAUUAAAUGUAAACGGAGAGCUAACAUUAAUAAUAUGUUAGCUGCACGUCAGUCUCUCAUGGCUCAAAGUAGAGGAGAGAUUGACUUCAUCACUACGUCUUUUGUAAGAAGUAUUGACAUGCUGGCCUUAUGGCUUGGGGAUAGAAGCUGUUAAGGAGCCUUUUGGACCUAGACUUGGCUCUCCUGUACCACUUGCAGUGCGGUAGCAGAGAGGACAGUCAAUGACUUUGGUGACUGGAGUCUUUUACCAUUGUCUGGGCCUUCCUCUGACACCGUCUAGUAUAUAGGUCCUGGAUGGCAGGAAACUUGGCCUAAGUGAUGUACUGGCCAUACGCACUACCCUCUGUCGGAUGCUGAGCAGUUGCCAGAACAGGCGGUGAUGUAACCGGUCAGGAUGCUCUCGAUGGUGCAGCUGUAUAACAUUUUGAGGAUCUGGGGACCCAUACCAAAUCUUUUCAGUCUCCUGUACAGAACAUUUUCUGCUGUUCAAUCACACGUAUUCUGCGUAUUCUGCUGUUCAAUCACGCGUAUUCUGCGUAUUCUGCUGUUCAAUCACACGUAUUCUGCUGUUCAAUCACGCGUAUUCUGCAUAUUCUGCUGUUCAAUCAGUAUUCUGCUGUUCAAUCACGCGUAUUCUGCGUAUUCUGCUGUUCAAUCACGCGUAUUCUGCGUAUUCUGCUGUUCAAUCACGCGUAUUCUGCGUAUUCUGCUGUUCAAUCACGUGUAUUCUGCGUAUUCUGCUGUUCAAUCACGCGGAUUCUGCGUAUUCUGCUGUUCCACUGAUUAAGGAUUCCAGCUUUAAAAGUAGACUCAGUGAUUUAAACGUAAACAGUAUAGUGGGUUAAUUUCCACAACAACUAAGAGCGUUGAAGCGUGAGGCUCAACUUCUCUGCUGUUUCGGUGUCGUGGAUACCAAUCUGUGAACAGCAUGAAGCGAACCCGUGCCCAUGGGCAGAUACUGUGUGUGACUGUGUGAGAGUGAAGUCUUGCAUCUCGCUCAUCUCAAUAUCUGCGGUGCUGCUCAUGGCAAACUCAUUUAGCUGAGUCUACAUUUUAAUAUUCAUAUGUAUUUCAUUUCUAUCUGGAAAUUAUAUUGCCUUUGAUAAUUGUCCACCGAUGACCAUAAUAUGUUGUGAGUAGCCACUCCCUCACCAGUCAUGGUUGAAAUACUGUUUGUUCUGUAGUUUGUUCCCAUGACAAGCCAUGCUGUUUUUUCAAUCAUUGCAUUACUCCUGGACAAAAGAUAGACAUGCUGAAAAGUUGUAAAUAUUUUGUUCCAUUGGACAUUCCACCCCAAUGAAGGCAUUUUAAUUACAAGAAGAGUGUCUUGGUCCUCCUUGCUUUUUGACGCCCACACUAAAUAAUUAAAGAGGUGCUUAUGAACGGAAAAGUUACAAAAACUUAUGAAAAAUAAAGAAAGCUGCACACUA